rnacentral:rRNA from 1 species
CAGUCGCCACGGUAAUACGGAGGGGGCUAGCGUUGUUCGGGAUUACUGGGCGUAAAGCGUGCGUAGGCGGUUCGUUAAGUCUGUUGUGAAAGCCCCGGGCUCAACCUGGGAAUGGCAAUGGAUACUGGCGAGCUAGAGUGUGUCAGAGGAUGGUGGAAUUCCCGGUGUAGCGGUGAAAUGCGUAGAUAUCGGAAGGAACACCUGUGGCGAAAGCGGCUCACUGGACCAUAACUGACGCUGAUGCACGAAAGCUAGGGGAGCAAACAGGAUUAGAUACCCGCGUAGUCCCUGUCUCUUAUAA